AUUGAACGCUGGCGGCAGGCCUAACACAUGCAAGUCGGACGGUAGCACAGAGAGCUUGCUCUCGGGUGACGAGUGGCGGACGGGUGAGUAAUGUCUGGGGAUCUGCCCGAUAGAGGGGGAUAACCACUGGAAACGGUGGCUAAUACCGCAUAACGUCGCAAGACCAAAGAGGGGGACAUUCGGGCCUCUCACUAUCGGAUGAACCCAGAUGGGAUUAGCUAGUCGGCGGGGUAACGGCCCACCUAGGCGACGAUCCCUAGCUGGUCUGAGAGGAUGACCAGCCACACUGGAACUGAGACACGGUCCAGACUCCUACGGGAGGCAGCAGUGGGGAAUAUUGCACAAUGGGCGCAAGCCUGAUGCAGCCAUGCCGCGUGUAUGAAGAAGGCCUUCGGGUUGUAAAGUACUUUCAGCGGGGAGGAAGGCGAUGUGGUUAAUAACCGCAUUGAUUGACGUUACCCGCAGAAGAAGCACCGGCUAACUCCGUGCCAGCAGCCGCCGUAA
rnacentral:rRNA from 1 species